GAAGUAAAACUCGAGGCUUUUCAAACACCGACCCCAGGGCCCUUCCUCCUUCUUGCCAGGAAAAGUUAAAAGGCUACUAAUUAGCAAAUACCAUUUGGCGUAGCAUUGAGAAGGAUUUGGUUGUCGCCGUAGCCUCCAUAUAUAGUGGUUUUAAGUGUUUUUUCUCAAAAGUGCAUUUGGUCAAAAGCUACAUUUUCUUUAGCAUUUGCUACUCUACAAAAAUAUUUUUUUCUGCAAAAAGCUUAGUCAAACACCUUGGUUUCUAAAAUUGGGGAGGUCAUAAAUUGUCUCUUGCCUUAUCUAUUAUAUAGAACAGUUUAGUGUUCCAAAACCUUGGCCAAAUUAAAGUCAUAGUUUGGCCAAGAUCUACACUGGAGUCUUAAAUGGCAGACAAAAACACUCAACUCUCUUUCUAAUAUAACUAACUCUUGAGGUCCCAACUUAGCAUAAGUUGUAUGUUGUAAAUUGAUCAUCACAAGGCAAGUGAAACUGAAGGUACCAUAGUGCGUCGAUAACAUCCUUGCUAUCAAUUGAAUAUUCUGUUGUUAGCGCUGCAUGCAUCAUGGUUGACAUCUUUGUUCCGCCAGUAAAUCCAGCUAUCUACAUGAGCAUAAUUUGCAGGAAAAAAAAUUAUGUUAGCUUGUGCUGUCAAAACUCAAAAGGGAUAAGUAGUUUCAUGAUUUGAUUCACAUUAUUAGUACAUGGGUUAUGUGUUAAAUAAAUUUUCACAGUAUCCAUCGUCUUCAAAUUUUUGGGUACGCCUGCACUACACCUUAUACAUAGUUUCUUUUUUUCUUGAUAGGAAUGUGAAACCUUAUUGGCACCCGCAACAUGAUUUCGAGUUGUUAAAAUAGACAGUUCGAAUGGUACACACGAUAUUUGGUGAUGAAUUGAAUCAAAUAAAAAUACUAAUACAAACUCACCACGUCGGUGUUAGUUGGUUGCAUUUUCAUUAUUGAUGAAGAAGUUGUUGCUUCUGUACUAACUUGAUCACCAUUUUAGACGUCCCGUGCUUUGUAUUAGGAAGCAACCCUGACAUGCGCAUAUGACCGUUGUUGCAUAUCUGUCACCCAUUCUAACAGGUCAUAUCAAAUUGCGUGGUGAAAGAGACUCUCAUAAGAAAGUUUUGAAAAUUUCUACUACUGCUACAUAUGCAAGAGAGCAAACAACUGAACAAAGGAUCCACAUUGGAAAAAUGGAUUAAGAAUAAUGAGACCGAAACUAACCAAACCAUAAGUGCUAACGGGAUAGCUAAUGAUAGAAAACUGACGUCAUCAACCUUGCCAAUCCAAAAUCCAUUAAUCUAGCACCAAAGUCUGUGAGACCACCAACCAACUCUGAAAGGCAAGAAUAAGCCAUUGUAACAACUGAGAAUGAAAAUUUGGGUAUGCAAAGGGUUGACUGACUAUGAAACUAUAUAUACUGCAAAAAUUAGGGUAUUUAUGAAAGUGCACAAAAAUAAAUUAACAAUGCAAUGAUUCAGAGAUUAAUACAAAUUUUAAGACAUUACAAAUCAGGAAGAUAAAAGGAAUGGAUUAAUAAUGGUAGAAGGUGAAAUGAAAUGAAAAACGUACCUUAAACUUCUGAAAUUGGGAGGGAGAAGGUCAUAAAGUCAGA
rnacentral:lncRNA from 1 species